AUUCCACGCCCCAUUCUGGGGGCCCCAAGCAAAGAUUAAUCAGGGCAGAGUGACGUGCACUCGGCCAAACUCUGUGAAAUAAAUGUGUUGCUGACACCUAACCAGGUCCAUCCCAGGGGCUAUCAGGCGGCGGCAGCCGUGGUGUUGGCGCAGCUGGAGGGAUGCCAUGUGGAGCCAGGGCAGAGUUAGCGACCAAGACGAGGGACUUGGGAAGAACAGCAAUUCCUUCCCAUGGUCCUUCCUGGAAGACACUUCAGGGCCUCCUCUGCUUUGUUGGGGUUCCCGGACUGCUAGGGUUUGAAGCAUGCCUAUGCCAUUAAUGAGCAACGUGAACAUCCC